CCUACGGGAGGCAGCAGUGAGGAAUAUUGGUCAAUGGACGAGAGUCUGAACCAGCCAAGUAGCGUGAAGGAUGACUGCCCUAUGGGUUGUAAACUUCUUUUAUAUGGGAAUAAAACGUUCCACGUGUGGGAUUUUGUAUGUACCAUAUGAAUAAGGAUCGGCUAACUCCGUGCCAGCAGCCGCGGUAAUACGGAGGAUCCGAGCGUUAUCCGGAUUUAUUGGGUUUAAAGGGAGCGUAGGUGGAUUGUUAAGUCAGUUGUGAAAGUUUGCGGCUCAACCGUAAAAUUGCAGUUGAAACUGGCAGUCUUGAGUACAGUAGAGGUGGGCAGAAUUCGUGGUGUAGCGGUGAAAUGCUUAGAUAUCACGAAGAACUCCGAUUGCGAAGGCAGUUCACUGGACUGCAACUGACACUGAGGCUCGAAAGUGUGGGUAUCAAACAGGAUUAGAUACCCGUGUAGUC
rnacentral:rRNA from 1 species